UACGGGGGGGGCAAGCGUUGUUCGGAUUCAUUGGGCGUAAAGGGCGCGUAGGCGGCGGGGUAAGUCGGGUGUGAAAUCUCAGAGCUCAACUCUGAAACUGCACUCGAUACUGCUUUGCUAGAGGACUGGAGAGGAGAUUGGAAUUCACGGUGUAGCAGUGAAAUGCGUAGAGAUCGUGAGGAAGACCAGUGGCGAAGGCGGAUCUCUGGACAGUUCCUGACGCUGAGGCGCGAAAGCCAGGGGAGCAAACGGG
rnacentral:rRNA from 1 species